UCUUAUUCUACUACUUCUUUUGUAGAGGAAGUCAGUCGUGAAUCUCGGUCUAACUUUGUUACCUUAGCCUGGAGACAGCCUAGUUUCCUAGGCCUCCUUCUAUCCCGAUAUUGAGCCAAGCCCGGCACCCCUGAUUGUGUUACGGAUUCUGUUGCCCAAGAACAAUCAAACUGUUCGUAGCUCUAAUUGCGUGAUCGGCUGUUAGGACGAUGGGGACGAUAGAGAGUCCUCUAGCCCGGUCCCGUCCUAUGUGAAGCUCUCCCCCAAAGCUUCCAAAUCCUUGCUAAUAAGAAAUGAUCUAUACGACCUCGCAUUGCCGGUUGACACAUCCCGC
rnacentral:lncRNA from 1 species